rnacentral:rRNA from 1 species
GACGAACGCUGGCGGCGUGCCUAAUACAUGCAAGUCGAACGCACUCUCGUUUAGAUUGAAGGAGUUUGCUCCUGAUUGAUAAACAUUUGAGUGAGUGGCGGACGGGUGAGUAACACGUGGGUAACCUGCCCUAAAGUGGGGGAUAACAUUUGGAAACAGAUGCUAAUACCGCAUAAAACCUAACACCGCAUGGUGUAGGGUUGAAAGAUGGUUUCGGCUAUCACUUUAGGAUGGACCCGCGGUGCAUUAGUUAGUUGGUGAGGUAAAGGCUCACCAAGACCGUGAUGCAUAGCCGACCUGAGAGGGUAAUCGGCCACACUGGGACUGAGACACGGCCCAGACUCCUACGGGAGGCAGCAGUAGGGAAAUCUUCCACAAUGGACGAAAGUCUGAUGGAGCAACGCCGCGUGAGUGAAGAAGGUUUUCGGAUCGUAAAACUCUGUUAGUUGGAGAAGAAUGUAUCUGAUAGUAACUGAUCAGGUAGUGACGGUAUCCAACCA